GAUGAACGCUGGCGGCGUGCUUAACACAUGCAAGUCGAACGAAACACCUUAUUUGAUUUUCUUCGGAACUGAAGAUUUGGUGAUUGAGUGGCGGACGGGUGAGUAACGCGUGGGUAACCUGCCCUGUACAGGGGGAUAACAGUCAGAAAUGACUGCUAAUACCGCAUAAGACCACAGCACCGCAUGGUGCAGGGGUAAAAACUCCGGUGGUACAGGAUGGACCCGCGUCUGAUUAGCUGGUUGGUGAGGUAACGGCUCACCAAGGCGACGAUCAGAAGCCGGCUUGAGAGAGUGAACGGCCACAUUGGGACUGAGACACGGCCCAAACUCCUACGGGAGGCAGCAGUGGGGAAUAUUGCACAAUGGGGGAAACCCUGAUGCAGCGACGCCGCGUGAGUGAAGAAGUAUUUCGGUAUGUAAAGCUCUAUCAGCAGGGAAGAAAAUGACGGUACCUGACUAAGAAGCCCCGGCUAACUACGUG
rnacentral:rRNA from 1 species